UUAACGAGAUUCCCACUGUCCCUAUCUACUAUCUAGCGAAACCGCAGCCAAGGGAACGGACUUGGGAAGAUCAGCGGGGAAAGAAGACCCUGUUGAGCUUGACUCUAGUCUCCUUUUGUAGAGGAGCAUUUCUGGCGUAGAAUAGGGAGGAGGCUUCGGCCGACAGUGAAAUACUCCUACGGAAAUCGCUCCUCUGCUUACACGGUUAGGCGAAAUUAGGACCUUCGGGGCCUAUUUCUUGAAUCAAAUGGGCGGGCUUGUUCUCGCCCAUGAUUCGCUCCGUGGACAUUGCGAGGCGGGGAGUUUGACUGGGGCGGUACAUCUGUCAAAUGAUAACGCAGGUGUCCUAAGGCCAGCUCAGUGAGGACGGAAACCUCACGUGGAGCAAAAGGGCAAAAGCUGGCUUGACCUUUCCCUUCAGUACGGGGCAAGGAGCAGAAAUGUCGGCCUAUCGAUCCUCUUUAUUUCGGAGUUUGAAGAAAGAGGUGUCAGAAAAGUUACCACAGGGAUAACUGGCUUGUGGCCGCCAAGCGUUCAUAGCGACGGGCUUUUUGAUCCUUCGAUGU
rnacentral:rRNA from 1 species